UACGAAGGGGGCUAGCGUUGUUCGGAAUUACUGGGCGUAAAGCGCACGUAGGCGGAUUGGUAAGUUGAGGGUGAAAUCCCGGGGCUCAACCCCGGAACUGCCUUCAAAACUACUAAUCUAGAGAUCAGUAGAGGCGAGCGGAAUACCGAGUGUAGAGGUGAAAUUCGUAGAUAUUCGGUGGAACACCAGUGGCGAAGGCGGCUCGCUGGACUGAUACUGACGCUGAGGUGCGAAAGCGUGGGGAGCAAACAGGAUUAGAUACCCGGGUAGUCC
rnacentral:rRNA from 1 species